UACAGAGGUCUCAAGCGUUGUCCGGAAUCAUUGGGCGUAAAGCGCGUGUAGGCGGCUGGCUAAGUCCGCUCUGAAAGCCCGGGGCUCAACCCCGGGAGGCGGGUGGAUACUGGUCAGCUCGAGUCCGGAAGAGGAGUGUGGAAUUCCUGGUGUAGCGGUGAAAUGCGCAGAUAUCAGGAGGAACACCAAUGGCGAAGGCAGCACUCUGGGACGGUACUGACGCUGAGACGCGAAAGCGUGGGGAGCAAACAGG
rnacentral:rRNA from 1 species